UUUAGGUGAACGGCAUGAGCCUUUGAUGUAUAAUGUUGUUAGGAACCAGAUUGAGACGGAGUUCCCGGUGGUGGGACUGGAUUGAUGAGUCAAGAGACAGAGGCCUGUGAUUCCAAAGCAGGAAGUGAGAUGAUAAGCAGGAGUUACCACUGAUCUUGCAUGACUUGAGCAAAAUUAGUUCAAAUACAAAAGACUUCUGGCAAAAUAGCUAGCCAACAGAUACAUUACUAUGGCUAUUUGUUAUAAUUAAUUUCUUUGUCUUUAGUCUUUACAAAGUUGUAUGAAACAUUUUAUUUUGGUAUUAAUGAUGAAGUCUUUUAAUAUA